GGGGAAUAUUGGACAAUGGGGGAAACCCUGAUCCAGCCAUGCCGCGUGAGUGAUAAGGCCUUAGGGUUGUAAAACUCUUUCGGUGGUGAAGAUAGUGACGGUAACCACAGAAGAAGCCCCGGCUAACUUCGUGCCAGCAGCCGCGGUAAUACGAAGGGGGCUAGCGUUGUUCGGAAUCACUGGGCGUAAAGCGCGCGUAGGCGGACUGUCAAGUCAGGGGUGAAAUCCCGAGGCUCAACCUCGGAACUGCCUUUGAAACUGUCAGUCUGGAGUCUCGGAGGGGAUGGCGGAAUUGCUAGUGUAGGGGUGAAAUCCGUAGAUACUAGCAGGAACACCGGUGGCGAAGGCGGCCAUCUGGACGAGAACUGACGCUGAGGCGCGAAAGCGUGGGGAGCAAAC
rnacentral:rRNA from 1 species